GUCUUUUUGGUUUAUAUAUAAAGUCUAGCCUGCCCACUGAAUUUUAAAUGGCCGCAGUAAUUUGACUGUGCAAAGGUAGCAUAAUCAUUAGUUUUUUAAUUAAAAGCUUGUAUGAAAGGUUGGACGAGGUAAAUACUGUCUCUAUUUAAUUUAUUUUAAAAUUUAAUUUUUAAGUUAAAAAGCUUAAAUUUUUGUAAAAGACGAGAAGACCCUAUAGAUCUUUAUAAUUUUUAUAUUAAAAUAAAUUUAGAUAUAUUUAUAUUUUAUUAUAAUAAUUAUUUUAUUGGGGUAAUAAAAAGAUUUAAUAAAUUCUUUUUUUUUAUUUAUAUUAAUUUAUAUUUUAUUGAUCCAUUAUUAAUGAUUAUAAGAUUAAGUUACCUUAGGGAUAACAGCGUAAUUUUUUUGGAGAGUUCAUAUCGAUAAAAAAGUUUGCGACCUCGAUGUUGGAUUAAAGAUUAAUUUAGGUGCAGAAGUUUAAAUUUUUGGUCUGUUCGACCAUUAAAUCUUUACAUGAUCUGAGUUCAGACCGGCGUAAGCCAGGUCGGUUUCUAUCUUUAUUAAAUUAAAAUAUUUUAGUACGAAAGGACCAAAUAUUUAAUAUAUUUAUAUUUAAUUUUUUGAAUAUUAUUAUUAUUUUGGCAGAUUAGUGCGAUGAAUUUAGAAUUCAUAUAUGUAAAUUUUUACAAAUAAUACUUGUAUUUUUUAGAUUUAUUAUUUUCUAUUGUUUGUAGUUUUUUAUUAAUUAUUUGUGUAUUAGUUGGUGUUGCAUUUCUAACUUUAUUAGAACGAAAAGUAUU
rnacentral:rRNA from 1 species